UACAGAGGGGGCAAGCGUUAUUCGGAAUUAUUGGGCGUAAAGGGCGCGUAGGCGGCUUUUCAAGUGACGGGUGAAAUCCCUCGGCUUAACCGAGGAACUGCCUGUCAGACUGGAAGGCUUGAGACCGGGAGAGGUGAGUGGAAUUCCCAGUGUAGCGGUGAAAUUCGUAGAUAUUCGCAAGAACACCAGUGGCGAAGGCGGCUCACUGGCCCGAUACUGACGCUGAGGCACGAAAGCGUGGGGAGCAAACAGG
rnacentral:rRNA from 1 species